rnacentral:rRNA from 1 species
AUCGAACGCUGGCGGCAGGCCUAACACAUGCAAGUCGAGCGGUAGCACAGGGAGCUUGCUCCUGGGUGACGAGCGGCGGACGGGUGAGUAAUGUCUGGGAAACUGCCUGAUGGAGGGGGAUAACUACUGGAACCGGUAGCUAAUACCGCAUAACGUCGCAAGACCAAAGAGGGGGACCUUCGGGCCUCUUGCCAUCAGAUGUGCCAACAUGGGAUUAGCUAGUAGGUGGGGUAACGGCUCACCUAGGCGACGACCCCUAGCUGGUCUGAGAGGAUGACCAGCCACACUGGAACUGAGACACGGUCCAGACUCCUACGGGAGGCAGCAGUGGGGAAUAUUGCACAAUGGGCGCAAGCCUGAUGCAGCCAUGCCGCGUGUAUGAAGAAGGCCUUCGGGUUGUAAAGUACUUUCAGCGGGGAGGAAGGUGUUGAGGUUAAUAACCUCAGCAAUUGACGUUACCCGCAGAAGAAGCACCGGCUAACUCCGUGCCAGCCGCCGCCGUAAGAC